UUUGAGGCCACCUGCAUCAUAAAGAGUAGCUGUAGUAUUUCUAAUGACUGAUUUCAUGGUCCAAUUUUUAAAUCCAACAUGUGAGGGAGAAAACAUUAAACUCCCCAUGCCGUAGUUUCUCCAAAUGUGAAAGGAGGUGGCAAUGACACUUACCUAUAUAAUGUUAUUGUGUGGAUGAAAUGAGGUAACAUCUAUAAAAUUUAGUAUGGUGAUGAUGACUCCUUAAGAAUUCACUUAAUGUUAACUAUUUUUAGUAAGAUACAAAGAUAACCCGUUAAAAUAUGAGUUUGAAAGAAUGGCUUAGUUUAUUUAAAUUAAUAACUAAUUUUAAAAGUAGAGAACUUAAAAACCCAAAAGUUAUAAAUAAAAGGGAUAUCUACUUUAAAAGUACAUUUAUUGGCAUCACAAAGGUUUUUUUUUUUUUUUAAGAUUUUAUCUAUUUAUUCAUGAGGGACACAGAGAGAAAGGCAGAGACAUAGGCAGAGGAAGAAGCAGGCUCCCUGUGGGGGGCCCAAUGCUAGCCUCCAUCCCAGUACUCCAGGAUCCUGCCCUGAGCCAAAGGCAGACGCUCAACCACUGAGACACGUAGGUGUCCCACAAAGGUUUUACAGCAUAUUGAUUCAGCAUUUAAGAAACUGAACUGAAAAACAAAGGAUAUCUUAAAAAGUCCAACAUUCCUUGGUGAUAUCAAGUGACUGGGACUAAGGAGCAGCUGCUCAUCACAGUUAGGAUGUGUUUUUACUGUUUUCACUUGUUCCAAACCACUGCUUGCUGUUUUUGGUUUUUUUGUUUUGUUUUGUUUUUGUUUUUUUUUCCUAUUACUGAGUUUCUUCAUUUAUUUUUCAUUACUGGCCAGACCCAGUUAUUUUUUAAAUUUACCAUUUCUAGUGAAUCUAAUACUCAAGAUUCUACCAAGUUAAAGACCUGUAUGUGACCAGGAAGGGAAAAUAAACACAAAGUAUAUCCUAAAAGGAGGAGCAUGAGUACGGAAAACUUGAAGCUACCUUUAUUUUUGAAAACAGCAUCCUCAGAGCUUUUGGUUGAUCCAUAUACUCAUUCUCAAAAUAUGAGGAAUACAGAAAAAAAUCGUUGGCUGAUGAAAGCACAGAGAUAUUGUGUAUACUUUCCUGGUAUUCUUUCACUGGAUUUUCUUGCCAUUCUGGUCAGGGUCCUGAUAGUGGCAUGA
rnacentral:lncRNA from 1 species